rnacentral:sRNA from 1 species
UGUAUGAAAUGAACAUAUGAUCAUCAUACAAUUCUUUAACAGAUGAUAUACGAUAUUGUGUCAAAACAGUAUCCAUGAAUAUCCAAGAUCAUAAGAAUGAUUUUCAUAUGAUAUGAUAAAGGUGGUCUCAUAAAGGUGAUGCCUCGUCUCGGUGAGCUUUGUAAUCUGUGAUUACCUAUGUUUUUCUCUGCUGGGCUCCAUUUUCCUCAUCCUUUACACUUGUAGUGUUUGUUGGAUAAAGAGGGUGCAAUGAUUUUGAAAAACUUUUUAAGUGAAAUUCUGGCUCAGAUCAAAGCAGUGUAUUCUCAAAUGAUUUUCAUCCUAAUUAUCUUAGAACAGGGUCCUUGGGGUUGAUCAGUACCUUAAUGAUGUCUACUGUAACAUACAGUUGUACCUUAGGUUCAAUUUUCUUACUAGGUAGACACACAAUCAUUCAGUAGUUUUUGUGUUCUUUAUGUAGAGAUGGUUCUGUGUGGGCUAAUUUACUAUUAAAUGUACAAAGAUUUAUAUGCAUUGACAUGAAAUAAACACUAAAUUUCU